GCGUCGCUGAGGGGUUGGACCGGCUGGGGCGUCACCACUUGGGUGGAGAAGUAGGGGCAGCGGUGGCGCCGUGUUGGGGCGGAGGAGAAGGAUGGCGACGACGGGCGAAGACAUCGUUGGCGGCGGCGGCGGCGGCGAAUCUGGUAGAGCCCCUUUCUCUUCCCAAGCCUGCCCCUCUCACCCUUUUCCUCAAGCGGCAAGACCCCAGGGGGAUCGAGGUUGCGACGCUGACGUUAUCUCCUACUCCGGAUCCAGGGUGAGAAUCUUGUGUCUUUCCUCUUCUUCUCUGGUGACUAUGGUUUGAAGAUUUGGGAUCAGGCAGCUGGCCUUGGCGGGGGUCACAUUGCAAGAACCGAAGCAGAUGCAGUAGAGAAGCAGAAGCGACCAGUUCACUCCGUUAUGAAAUCUUGUUUCUGAUUCUUGGAUCCUGUGUAGUAGAGAAGCAGAACUCAGCGGGUAUUCCUUUGGAUACAUUAUGAGUAUGCUGAAGGUUGAAAAUGAGGCUGUCACUGCUGAAGAUUGGCACCAACACGGGUGUCGUUCGGCUUCGCUGCUUGAUUCGGCAAGGUCCUCACGUUCUUCUUCAAGGAGGACUUUGCACUCAAGGUAGGGGCCAUCUUCAAAGCCACAUGCCCGCUCUACGAUGGCGCACUGCAAGAACGCCUCGGUCAUCACCUGAAUCUCAUGGAGCGUGUUGCAGGCUGUGGAACAAGCUCCGCGAGGUUCGUAUGUUGAUGUUUGUGCUCAAAAUUUUGACAAUUCCACUCGAAUAGCACUUCUCCAGUGUAUGUAUAUAUGCAAUCGACUGCAAUCUGUAAGUACAAGCUCCGGGAGAGCACCGUGGCCUCUGCUAUCCGUGACACGAGAUAGGUCCCUUCCCUGACGUAGGCAAUAGCCCCAUCCCUUGCUGAUACGGAUAAAGACCCAAGAAUCCUUUUAUUGAUUCCCCUCUCAAGUAUGUACCCGAUCGGUUGGAACGUGGAAACAUCACAAAUUCACAUGUGAGUAGCGGAGAGAACAAUGUCAAGGCCAUGUCCAGAAGCAAGCGUAGCAAGGCAUCCGGCGAGGGUGCUGGUUGCGGAUGAUAUCGUACGGAGGUGCUGCUGCCUCCACUGGGUGGUCGGCUGGUGGUCAAGCCAUCGCUGGCGCCGGUGUCAAAGCUGUUGUACCACUUCCCCAUCGCAGGGUUCGACGCCAAGGCGGCGUACUCAUUUCAUGUUCCUCGUCGCGCCCCAGGGAGAACGAGUUGUUGCUCAUCACCUUUACUAUGCCCGAUGCAACACCUGGAGGUGCUGACGCCCACAUCGUGCCAUAGCCUCACCAUCAUGUACGAUGCUAAAGAGGGGCUCAGGUGCAGCCCGGCUGGGGUUCGACAGUACGCUUGAACACUAAGGCCGUGAGGAUAAUCAGCGGGAUGCACGGGCCCCAUGAGUAGCAGGACAUGAGGUGUACACUACUGGAGGCGGAUGCUGCUGGAAGGCUGUUGGCCGGCGGCAGCCCGAGCGGUGCCCUUAGGAUGUGCAGGUCUGUGGCCAACACUAGCCAAACAAGUACAUCUCUGAUCUCUCUCUUUUGCUAGCUAUCUCUUCUACUAAACAGCAUACCUAUUGUUAUCUAGAUGACUAGAUGCACAACCACAUAAGUUGUUCGACGCAUGCUCUAACAUGCGAUGAUUGAUUUUAUGCAUCUUCUAUGAGCACUUGCUAAAAUAAUUAAUACAUUGGAAUGCUUCGAAUCCAAAUGUAUAAGUUUACUUGAACGGUGUAGUUGAUUGGACUUUGGAGUGCAUAUUUGGU